GACGAACCGAGCGAACGUUGUUCGGAAUCACUGGGCUUAAAGGGUGCGUAGGCGGGCUGCCAAGUUUGGGGUGAAAUCCUCCGGCUCAACCGGGGAAGUGCCUCGAAUACUGGCGGUCUGGAGGGAGGUAGGGGCGUGCGGAACUAACGGUGGAGCGGUGAAAUGCGUUGAUAUCGUUAGGAACUCCGGUGGCGAAGGCGGCACGCUAGACCUCUUCUGACGCUGAGGCGCGAAAGCUAGGGGAGCAAACGGG
rnacentral:rRNA from 1 species